rnacentral:misc_RNA from 1 species
GAUGAAGAACGUAGCGAAAUGCGAUAAGUAAUGUGAAUUGCAGAAUUCAGUGAAUCAUCGAAUCUUUGAACGCACAUUGCGCCCGCCAGUAUUCUGGCGGGCAUGCCUGUUCGAGCGUCAUUUCAACCCUCAAGCUCUGCUUGGUGUUGGGGACCGGCCGCAGCCUCAGUGCUCUGCCGCCCCCUAAAUACAGUGGCGGUCCCGCCGCAGCCUCCUUUGCGUAGUAGUAAACCACCUCGCACAUGGAACGCAGCGUGACCACGCCGUUAAACCCCCAACUUUCUGAAGUUUGACCUCGGAUCAGGUAGGAAUACCCGCUGAACUUAAGCAUAUCAAUAAGCGGAGGA